rnacentral:rRNA from 1 species
AGUGAACGCUGGCUGCGUGCUUAAUACAUGCAAGUCGAACGGAGGCGCGCACUGGUGAGUAAUGUGUAGCUAUUCUGGCUUACACUAGAGGACAACAGGUGGAAAAGGCUGUUAAUACUGCAUAGUGUAGGAUGAGGCUAUAUUGUAUCAGCUAGUUGGUGCGGUAAUGGCGCACCAAGGUUAUGACGCAUAACUGGUCUGAGAGGAUGAUCAGUCACACGGGAACUGAGACACGGUCCAGACUCCUACGGGAGGCAGCAGUAGGGAAUAUUGCUCAAUGGGGGAAACCCUGAAGCAGCAACGCCGCUUGGAGGAUGACACUUUUCGGAGCGUAAACUCCUUUUGUUAGGGAAGCGGUACCUAACGAAUAAGCACCGGCUAACUCCGUGCCAGCCGCCGCGGUAAUAC